UACACAUGACCGCCAUGCUUAUUCUAUAUUGGAACGUGUAAGACUCUGUCAACAGCCCCCAUUGGAGAGGAUGUUGGAAAAUGAAUGAAUCCCUCUUGGAGCUAUUACAUGAUCUUUGUCUAGUUUAUAUACCUUCUUGGGGUGAUCCAACAAUUUGUCUCAAAAAGGGCUUCUUUAGAGUUGGUAACCGGAUUUCACGCAUAUCUUAUUUAGAAGAAUCGAGGUUUGUCUUCAAUUGCAACUUAGAUUGACGUAUUCGUCUGUUUCUUCUUUGAAUAACAAGUAACCUUUUGUGUGUUGACAGUUUGUGAUCAAACAAUGUGAUCAUAUGUCAAGACAACGCAUCAAACAGUUUGUGUGUUGACUUUGGUUCACAAUCACAGUUUCUUGCCCAUUCUUGAGGUAAUUUAGAUGACACGCUAUUGGAGUGGAAGAGAUGCACGUCUAUGAGGAUGGCAGUGCCAAGCUACUUAUGACACUGUUCACAUUCAAAGUUGACAUGAACGAAUUUUUCACACUUUGUUCUAUCAAUAAUAACGCAUUCGUAGCAAUAAGAAUAUAUAGUCCCUUUUCAAGAAG
rnacentral:lncRNA from 1 species